AUUGAACGCUGGCGGCAUGCCUUACACAUGCAAGUCGAACGGCAGCACGGGAGCAAUCCUGGUGGCGAGUGGCGAACGGGUGAGUAAUAUAUCGGAACGUGCCCAGUAGUGGGGGAUAGCCCGGCGAAAGCCGGAUUAAUACCGCAUACGACCUGUGGGUGAAAGCGGGGGAUCGCAAGACCUCGCGCUAUUGGAGCGGCCGAUAUCAGAUUAGCUAGUUGGUGGGGUAAAGGCCUACCAAGGCGACGAUCUGUAGCUGGUCUGAGAGGACGACCAGCCACACUGGGACUGAGACACGGCCCAGACUCCUACGGGAGGCAGCAGUGGGGAAUUUUUGGACAAUGGGCGCAAGCCUGAUCCAGCCAUGCCGCGUGGGAAGAAGGCCUCGGUUGUAACC
rnacentral:rRNA from 1 species